rnacentral:rRNA from 1 species
CUUAACACAUGCAAGUCGAACGGAAAGGCCCUGCUUUUGUGGGGUGCUCGAGUGGCGAACGGGUGAGUAACACGUGAGUAACCUGCCCUUGACUUUGGGAUAACUUCAGGAAACUGGGGCUAAUACCGGAUAGGAGCUCCUGCUGCAUGGUGGGGGUUGGAAAGUUUCGGCGGUUGGGGAUGGACUCGCGGCUUAUCAGCUUGUUGGUGGGGUAGUGGCUUACCAAGGCUUUGACGGGUAGCCGGCCUGAGAGGGUGACCGGCCACAUUGGGACUGAGAUACGGCCCAGACUCCUACGGGAGGCAGCAGUGGGGAAUAUUGCACAAUGGGCGGAAGCCUGAUGCAGCAACGCCGCGUGCGGGAUGACGGCCUUCGGGUUGUAAACCGCUUUCGCCUGUGACGAAGCGUGAGUGACGGUAAUGGGUAAAGAAGCACCGGCUAACUACGUGCCAGCAGCCGCGGUGAUACGUAGGGUGCGAGCGUUGUCCGGAUUUAUUGGGCGUAAAGGGCUCGUAGGUGGUUGAUCGCGUCGGAAGUGUAAUCUUGGGGCUUAACCCUGAGCGUGCUUUCGAUACGGGUUGACUUGAGGAAGGUAGGGGAGAAUGGAAUUCCUGGUGGAGCGGUGGAAUGCGCAGAUAUCAGGAGGAACACCAGUGGCGAAGGCGGUUCUCUGGGCCUUUCCUGACGCUGAGGAGCGAAAGCGUGGGGAGCGAACAGGCUUAGAUACCCUGGUAGUCCACGCUGUAAACGGUGGGUACUAGGUGUGGGGUCCAUUCCACGGGUUCCGUGCCGUAGCUAACGCUUUAAGUACCCCGCCUGGGGAGUACGGCCGCAAGGCUAAAACUCAAAGGAAUUGACGGGGCCCCGCACAAGCGGCGGAGCAUGCGGAUUAAUUCGAUGCAACGCGUAGAACCUUACCUGGGUUUGACAUGGAUCGGGAGUGCUCAGAGAUGGGUGUGCCUCUUUUGGGGUCGGUUCACAGGUGGUGCAUGGCUGUCGUCAGCUCGUGUCGUGAGAUGUUGGGUUAAGUCCCGCAACGAGCGCAACCCUUGUUCACUGUUGCCAGCACGUUAUGGUGGGGACUCAGUGGAGACCGCCGGGGUCAACUCGGAGGAAGGUGGGGAUGACGUCAAGUCAUCAUGCCCCUUAUGUCCAGGGCUUCACGCAUGCUACAAUGGCUGGUACAGAGAGUGACGAGCCUGUGAGGGUGAGCGAAUCUCGGAAAGCCGGUCUCAGUUCGGAUUGGGGUCUGCAACUCGACCUCAUGAAGUCGGAGUCGCUAGUAAUCGCAGAUCAGCAACGCUGCGGUGAAUACGUUCCCGGGGCUUGUACACACCGCCCGUCAAGUCAUGAAAGUUGGUAACACCCGAAGCCGGUGGCCUAACCGAAGUGGGGGAGCCGUCGAAGGUGGGACUGGUGAUUAGGACUAA